rnacentral:tRNA from 1 species
UCUAAUAUGGCAGAAUAGUGCAAUGGACUUAAGACCCAUAUAUAAAGUUUAACUUUUCUUAGAA